AAGAAACAUAUUAACUAUGGGAUAGUAUAUUCAUGCAUAUUAUGAAACAUAUUAACUAUGAAGCAUGAAUAAUUGCAUUAGGUUGCAUUAGGGACUCCUUUCUGAUAGGAUGUUGAAAAUAAUCAUAAGGGGAAAGAGAAUGAGUGAUACAAUUAUAUGAAAUGAAAAAAUAAAUGAUGGAGAAGACCAUGGACUCAGAAUGAGGUAGACUCAAAGGCACAGCAUUGGUGUGGGAGUAUUAAUUUUCCAUAAAAAAAUUAAAGUUUUGGCUCAUGUCUGUAAUUCCAGCGCUUUGGGAGGUCAG